AAAACUUUCAACAACGGAUCUCUUGGUUCGGGCAUCGAUGAAGAACGCAGCGAAAUGCGAUAAGUAAUGUGAAUUGCAGAAUUCAGUGAAUCAUCGAAUCUUUGAACGCACAUUGCACUCCCUGGCAUUCCAGGGAGUAUGCCUGUUCGAGCGUCAUUACAACCCUCACG
rnacentral:rRNA from 1 species